AACUAAUUACAAUACUUUUAGUUUCUCGAAAAAAAGAAAUUUGCAAAACAAUAUUAUCAAAUCGUGCAGUGUUAUUUUUUAUAUAAUUUUAUACUAUCAAAUAAACGUAAAUUGAAUUAAAUCUUUUCAAUCGCACAUAAAGAGUUAAUCGUUUAGCUUGUUGCUUUCUGUUCUUUCAAAGAAAUCGGGAUAGCCUUCGAGAAAUGCGGAAAUCUUACGGUAUCCUUGUGCAAGUAUACGAAACGAAAGCCUUGUAUUAAUUGUUUCUGUCGCGUUGACAAAAAAUGACGAAAUACUUGUACGCUUGUGGAAAGAGUGACCAAGUAUUUUAUUAUCAACAUCGUUCUCCAAUAGAAUUCAUCAAAAUUGUUGUUGUGCCAUAUAUAACAAUUAUAUUACAUGUAUUAUUUUCCCUUUUAUUUAAAAAUUUUUAAUUUUUUUUUUUUUACUUUCUCGAAAUUCUUGACAUAGAAUUGAGUUUAAUUUUUCUUUUUACCGGAACGCUGUUUGACGCAGCUGCAGGACGGAUUAUUUCGGUCUAGGUCAAGUUCAAGCUCAAGCUCAUACAUUAUUUUUCGAAAGACUCCCCGGCUUUCUCGUGCCGUCGCGAGAAUCGGAAUCGAUGGAUUACGUUACGAUGAUCAUGUGUGUGACGAAGUAAAAUGAAAAUUGCACGCGAAGGUAUUUGCUUCCGGCUUAUUUACGGUUGUAUAUAUGGCGUAAGUGUUUGGAGGAAUCGACGUAACGUGGAUUUGGUGCUGCGCUUUUGCCUCGUAUAAAUAAACCCCGUUCGUUCAAACUCGACUUGCAGCUCAUUUAAUUGCUCAGAAAAUCGUUGAUUCGCGAACAAAUUUUUUUACGCGAGUUAAAUGACGGCUGGUGUGUGGGAAAACUCCUCCUAUUUGCUACUUGCGGUAGGCCGCGUCCGACGAUUUAAUUUUUGCAUAUUUGCACGGAUCAAUAAUGUCAAUUAACGUUAAUUGCAAUUAGCCGAGUAGGUGCUAUUUUUGCAGCCGUUAUUAUUUUACAGCGUUAUUACAUUGAAAAAGGAACGAGGAGAUUAAACUGUGACGAGAGUCGAUAGACAUUGAAUCGGGACUAUGUUUCUUAAAAACUUUUAAUAAUUUUUUAAUUACAAGCAAUAUUAAGAAAAAAGAUUUAUAUUGCAUAUCAAGCGCUUUAGCAACUGUUAAAUUUUUUUUUUUAAACUUGAAUUAGUAGCGUGUGCAGCAUUCAUAAAAUUAUCAAUCUCGCCUCUAUUUUUUAUUAUACAUACAGUCGAAAUAUCUAAUAGAUGUCUACGCAACCAAAGCAAUCCUAUUUGCGUAAAAAAUCAACUGGAACAAAUGUGCAUCGUAAAUUUACAUUAACGCAAUCGCAGCGACUCGUAUUAAUGCAAUCAGCUGUCGUGUCUGGUGGGUUCGAUACGAUAAUCGCGGACUUAUAUUUAUAAUCGUCAGCUGACAUCAGCUGGUUUCCCACCGAAUGGUUAAAUCCUGUGAUAAAAUAAAGUUUUACUAUAAACACGUGUCAUAAUGUGUUUUUAAAACGACAAGACGAAUCUGUCGAGAUGUCCAGUGGUAAUGAAAAGAUCAUAUUUCCACAAGUAAUGCAUUUAAUAUCCUUGAUAAAUAGUAAUAUCGUUAACAAGCCAAGGAAAGAGAUCGAGCGAUAAAGAAAAUAAAAUGUAAACGAAAGUAUGCAAAUGGAAAUGGAAAUUGCCAGCAUACGCCAUUCGACUGCGCGGCGUUAGCGGAUUAACAAAUUGUAAGAUAUUAUGAAUAGUAAGGGAAUAAAAAAAACGUGGAUCACUUACCAAGUGUACAGUGAAUGGGUAACAACACAACUGAAAGGAGUUGCGAGUAAGCAACGUUUAUACCGGUUCGCCGGCCAAUGGAGGAAGAUCAAAGUCGAAGCCGCCCAGUGGUCGUUUAUGGCGUCAUUUUCUACCAAGGAACGCCGAGCUUGCGGAAAUCGAUAAGUUCUAGAAGCGCGAUCGGCCGAAUGCGGCGCAUACACGCUCUUCAUCGCGGGGGCGAGUCCGCACCCCCUUUACGAGACAGUUGCGUCAUAAUUAAUGAAGCGAUGUUUGGUAGCAAGUUGAACUUUUUGUGUAAAAAAAAAGAAAAAAGAAAAAUAAAAAGUAGAAAAAGA
rnacentral:lncRNA from 13 species